CCUACGGGUGGCAGCAGUGAGGAAUAUUGGUCAAUGGACGAGAGUCUGAACCAGCCAAGUAGCGUGAAGGAUGACUGCCCUAUGGGUUGUAAACUUCUUUUAUAUGGGAAUAAAAUGUUCCACGUGUGCCAUUUUGUAUGUACCAUAUGAAUAAGGAUCGGCUAACUCCGUGCCAGCAGCCGCGGUAAUACGGAGGAUCCGAGCGUUAUCCGGAUUUAUUGGGUUUAAAGGGAGCGUAGAUGGAUUGUUAAGUCAGUUGUGAAAGUUUGCGGCUCAACCGUAAAAUUGCAGUUGAUACUGGCAGUCUUGAGUACAGUAGAGGUAGGCGGAAUUCGUGGUGUAGCGGUGAAAUGCUUAGAUAUCACGAAGAACUCCGAUUGCGAAGGCAGCUCACUGGACUGCAACUGACACUGAGGCUCGAAAGUGUGGGUAUCAAACAGGAUUAGAUACCCCAGUAGUC
rnacentral:rRNA from 1 species